rnacentral:rRNA from 1 species
UACGAAGGGGGGCUAGCGUUGCUCGGAAUCACUGGGCGUAAAGGGUGCGUAGGCGGGUUUUUAAGUCAGGGGUGAAAUCCUGGAGCUCAACUCCAGAACUGCCUUUGAUACUGAAGAUCUUGAGUCCGGGAGAGGUGAGUGGAACUGCGAGUGUAGAGGUGAAAUUCGUAGAUAUUCGCAAGAACACCAGUGGCGAAGGCGGCUCACUGGCCCGAUACUGACGCUGAGGCACGGAAAGCGUGGGGAGCAAACAGG